rnacentral:rRNA from 1 species
GACGAACGCUGGCGGCGUGCUUAACACAUGCAAGUCGAACGGAAAGGCCCUGCUUUUGUGGGGUGCUCGAGUGGCGAACGGGUGAGUAACACGUGAGUAACCUGCCCUUGACUUUGGGAUAACUUCAGGAAACUGGGGCUAAUACCGGAUAGGAGCUCCUGCUGCAUGGUGGGGGUUGGAAAGUUUCGGCGGUUGGGGAUGGACUCGCGGCUUAUCAGCUUGUUGGUGGGGUAGUGGCUUACCAAGGCUUUGACGGGUAGCCGGCCUGAGAGGGUGACCGGCCACAGUGGGUCUCAGAUACGGCCCAGUCCUCUAUGGUGGGCAUCGGUGGGGAACAGUGCUUAAUGGUCGGCACGCUGCUGCUGCACCUCCUCGUGCGGUAUUACGUCCUCCGGGCUGUGACCCGUAGCCGCCUUUGACGAAGCGCGAGUGACGGUAAUGGGUAAAUACGCCCCGGCUACCUACGUG